rnacentral:rRNA from 2 species
AUCAUGGCUCAGGACGAACGCUGGCGGCGUGCCUAAUACAUGCAAGUCGAACGAACUCUGGUAUUGAUUGGUGCUUGCAUCAUGAUUUACAUUUGAGUGAGUGGCGAACUGGUGAGUAACACGUGGGAAACCUGCCCAGAAGCGGGGGAUAACACCUGGAAACAGAUGCUAAUACCGCAUAACAACUUGGACCGCAUGGUCCGAGUUUGAAAGAUGGCUUCGGCUAUCACUUUUGGAUGGUCCCGCGGCGUAUUAGCUAGAUGGUGGGGUAACGGCUCACCAUGGCAAUGAUACGUAGCCGACCUGAGAGGGUAAUCGGCCACAUUGGGACUGAGACACGGCCCAAACUCCUACGGGAGGCAGCAGUAGGGAAUCUUCCACAAUGGACGAAAGUCUGAUGGAGCAACGCCGCGUGAGUGAAGAAGGGUUUCGGCUCGUAAAACUCUGUUGUUAAAGAAGAACAUAUCUGAGAGUAACUGUUCAGGUAUUGACGGUAUUUAACCAGAAAGCCACGGCUAACUACGUGCCAGCAGCCGCGGUAAUACGUAGGUGGCAAGCGUUGUCCGGAUUUAUUGGGCGUAAAGCGAGCGCAGGCGGUUUUUUAAGUCUGAUGUGAAAGCCUUCGGCUCAACCGAAGAAGUGCAUCGGAAACUGGGAAACUUGAGUGCAGAAGAGGACAGUGGAACUCCAUGUGUAGCGGUGAAAUGCGUAGAUAUAUGGAAGAACACCAGUGGCGAAGGCGGCUGUCUGGUCUGUAACUGACGCUGAGGCUCGAAAGUAUGGGUAGCAAACAGGAUUAGAUACCCUGGUAGUCCAUACCGUAAACGAUGAAUGCUAAGUGUUGGAGGGUUUCCGCCCUUCAGUGCUGCAGCUAACGCAUUAAGCAUUCCGCCUGGGGAGUACGGCCGCAAGGCUGAAACUCAAAGGAAUUGACGGGGGCCCGCACAAGCGGUGGAGCAUGUGGUUUAAUUCGAAGCUACGCGAAGAACCUUACCAGGUCUUGACAUACUAUGCAAAUCUAAGAGAUUAGACGUUCCCUUCGGGGACAUGGAUACAGGUGGUGCAUGGUUGUCGUCAGCUCGUGUCGUGAGAUGUUGGGUUAAGUCCCGCAACGAGCGCAACCCUUAUUAUCAGUUGCCAGCAUUAAGUUGGGCACUCUGGUGAGACUGCCGGUGACAAACCGGAGGAAGGUGGGGAUGACGUCAAAUCAUCAUGCCCCUUAUGACCUGGGCUACACACGUGCUACAAUGGAUGGUACAACGAGUUGCGAACUCGCGAGAGUAAGCUAAUCUCUUAAAGCCAUUCUCAGUUCGGAUUGUAGGCUGCAACUCGCCUACAUGAAGUCGGAAUCGCUAGUAAUCGCGGAUCAGCAUGCCGCGGUGAAUACGUUCCCGGGCCUUGUACACACCGCCCGUCACACCAUGAGAGUUUGUAACACCCAAAGUCGGUGGGGUAACCUUUUAGGAACCAGCCGCCUAAGGUGGGACAGAUGAUUAGGGUGAAGUCGUAACAAGGUAGCCGUAGGAGAACCUGCGGUUGGAUCAC